CUACCCAGUUAUCCCACCAGGUGGGGUAUGGGGAGGGUAAUAUGUAGACGAGCCUUACCCCUGCCCGUAAGGGCAGAGAGGCUGUUUUCAAACGACCCUCGGCGUGUAGGAUAAAAAGAGGGAAAGCUGCAUUACGAAAACAAAGGUAAAAUUAAAAACACAAGCAAAACAAAACAAAAUAAUAAAGCAUAGGUACUCCUGCAAUAAUAAUGUAAGUACUCAUGAAAACAUAAGCAACAUAAAUACAGUCAUAGAACUAAGAAAAACUCCAAAUAAAAAUAUAAAACCUACAACAACAACAACAACAACGACUACUACCCAGUUAUCCCACCAGGUGGGGUAUGGGGAGGGUAAUAUGUAGACGAGCCUUACCCCUGCCCGUAAGGGCAGAGAGGCUGUUUCCAAACGAC
rnacentral:lncRNA from 1 species